rnacentral:tRNA from 1 species
GGGCCCGUGGUCUAGUGGUUAUGACGUCUGCUUGACGUGCAGAAGGCCAAGGGUUCGAAUCCCUUCGGGCCCA